rnacentral:tRNA from 1 species
GGUGUGACUCAAUAGUAGAGUGCCUGCCUAGCAUGCAUGAGGCCCGGGUUCCAUCCCCAGCACC